UGGGGAAUAUUGGGCAAUGGGCGCAAGCCUGACCCAGCAACGCCGCGUGAGGGAAGAAGGCUUUCGGGUUGUAAACCUCUGUCCUUGGUGACGAAACAAAUGACGGUAGCCAAGGAGGAAGCCCCGGCUAACUACGUGCCAGCAGCCGCGGUAAUACGUAGGGGGCGAGCGUUGUCCGGAAUUACUGGGCGUAAAGGGUGCGUAGGUGGCCUUUUAAGUUGGAUGUGAAAUACCCGGGCUUAACUUGGGGGGUGCAUCCAAAACGGGAAGGCUGGAGUGCAGGAGAGGAAAGCGGAGUUCCUGGUGUAGCGGUGAAAUGCGUAGAUAUUAGGAGGAACACCUGUGUCGAAGGCGGCUUUCUGGACUGUAACUGGCACUGAGGCACGAAAGCGUGGGGA
rnacentral:rRNA from 1 species